rnacentral:rRNA from 1 species
AUUGAACGCUGGCGGCAUGCUUUACACAUGCAAGUCGAACGGCAGCACGGACUUCGGUCUGGUGGCGAGUGGCGAACGGGUGAGUAAUACAUCGGAACGUACCCAGUAAUGGGGGAUAACUAUCCGAAAGGAUAGCUAAUACCGCAUACGCCCUACGGGGGAAAGAGGGGGAUCGCAAGACCUUCUGUUAUUGGAGCGGCCGAUGGCCGAUUAGCUAGUUGGUAGGGUAAAGGCCUACCAAGGCAACGAUCAGUAGCGGGUCUUAGAGGACGAUCCGCCACACUGGAACUGAGACACGGUCCAGACUCCUACGGGAGGCAGCAGUGGGGAAUCUUGGACAAUGGGCGCAAGCCUGAUCCAGCAAUGCCGCGUGCGUGAAGAAGGCCUUCGGGUUGUAAAGCGCUUUUGUCAGGGAGCAAAUCCUUGUGGCUAAUACCCACCGGGGAUGAGAGUACCUGAAGAAUAAGGACCGGCUAACUACGUGCCAGCCGCCGCGGUAAAAC